AUGCGAAACGCGUAUGGAAAGGUACAAGGCCACUGGACGCUGUGAGAGACCCGUGCUCGCCAUCUAUUGAGUGAAAAGCAUAUCACAACUCACAACCAUCUACAGUUGCAUGAAAAUGACUAAUUGCAAUCUUCUUGUUAUGCAGUGAAAACCAACUGGCUACAACUGUGCUUUAAAGAGUUGAAGAUUCAUAUACAACCUGCACCAACAUACAAUACGUUAUUUAUUUGCAUUUCUACAUUUUCUUCUCAUGAAAUGGCUUGAGUCGGGUCUAUUUUCCGUUCUAUGUUGGCUACGUCUGAUUUCUCCCUUGAAUUAUAUAUGCAUCGCAAAUCCCCCCUAUCGAUAUAUGCGACAACGAUCGGGGUUCCAUCGUUCCUUCGUCCAAAAGUUGAGCCAAUAGGAAGCCAAUAUUUUGCAGCCUGAACGAGGGUUCUGUUUUAGUUCUACUUCAACAGAAAUACGAUAUAGGCCUCCUAAUCUGGGUACAGAAGUUAUUCUUUAGAGUUAAAGAUAAAUUUACAGUCUGCAUCGGCAUACUUUUAUUCGUUAUUUAUUUUAGGUAUAUUAAUUAUUUUGCCAUUAUAUGAGUCACGCAUUUUCCGUUCAAAGUUGGCAACAUGAUAUAUUGCAACAGCAAAUGAUGUACGAUCGAAGUUUCACGUUCCUUCGUCAAACGAAAAUCGAGCCAAUAGGAAGUCAGUGUUUCGGCGCCCGAAUGAGGAUACCAUUUUAUUGACAAAUUCACGGAAUUAGUUAGUUUAUUAUUAACGUAUUAUAUGUAAGAAAAUUAUAAACUUAUUUGUUCAAAUACCUUGUGCAAAAGUAAUAAUUUUUGUGAACUUUGAACAGUUAGCUUUCACGUGAAAUGUUAUUGGAAAUGAACUGUGUACAUUUUCGCGUCAUUAUAAACUUCAAUUGUUUGCUAGUCUGCGACAAAAGCUGUAGGAAAGGUGUUUUCCAAAAUGGAAUGGGCGGCGUGUGCACCAUACAGAGCUCUGAGAAAUCUGCUUCAGUCGUUGACUUUCAACUUCAACGCAUCCGCGAAGCAUUGAAUCAGACUCUGCAGUCUGAACACGUAAAAGCACUCCGCAAAUGAUGAUGUGAAAUUUAGACAGAAUGUCGACCAACCCCUGGAUCAAUGGAAGCAUUCGGUGUGUGCUGCGCUGUUUUGAGGAUUUUCUGCG